rnacentral:rRNA from 1 species
UACGUAGGGUGCAAGCGUUAAUCGGAAUACUGGGCGUAAAGCGUGCGCAGGCGGUUUUGUAAGUCUGUCGUGAAAUCCCCGGGCUCAACCUGGGAAUUGCGAUGGAGACUGCAAGGCUAGAAUCUGGCAGAGGGGGGGUAGAAUUCCACGUGUAGCAGUGAAAUGCGUAGAUAUCUGGAGGAACACCGGUGGCGAAGGCGGCAUCCUGGACCGGUAUUGACGCUGAGGUGCGAAAGCGUGGGGAGCAAACAGG